rnacentral:rRNA from 1 species
GGAUGUUAGCGGCGGACGGGUGAGUAACACGUGGGUAACCUGCCUGUAAGACUGGGAUAACUCCGGGAAACCGGAGCUAAUACCGGAUAGUUCCUUGAACCGCAUGGUUCAAGGAUGAAAGACGGUUUCGGCUGUCACUUACAGAUGGACCCGCGGCGCAUUAGCUAGUUGGUGGGGUAAUGGCUCACCAAGGCGACGAUGCGUAGCCGACCUGAGAGGGUGAUCGGCCACACUGGGACUGAGACACGGCCCAGACUCCUACGGGAGGCAGCAGUAGGGAAUCUUCCGCAAUGGACGAAAGUCUGACGGAGCAACGCCGCGUGAGUGAUGAAGGUUUUCGGAUCGUAAAGCUCUGUUGUUAGGGAAGAACAAGUGCGAGAGUAACUGCUCGCACCUUGACGGUACCUAACCAGAAAGCCACGGCUAACUACGUGCCAGCAGCCGCGGUAAUACGUAGGUGGCAAGCGUUGUCCGGAAUUAUUGGGCGUAAAGGGCUCGCAGGCGGUUUCUUAAGUCUGAUGUGAAAGCCCCCGGCUCAACCGGGGAGGGUCAUUGGAAACUGGGAAACUUGAGUGCAGAAGAGGAGAGUGGAAUUCCACGUGUAGCGGUGAAAUGCGUAGAGAUGUGGAGGAACACCAGUGGCGAAGGCGACUCUCUGGUCUGUAACUGACGCUGAGGAG